AUUGAACGCUGGCGGCAGGCCUAACACAUGCAAGUCGAACGAGUGGCGGACGGGUGAGUAAUGUCUGUGCAACUGCCUGAUGGAGGGGGAUAACUACUGGAAACGGUAGCUAAUACCGCAUACCAUCAGAUGUGCCCAGAUGGGAUUAGCUAGUUGGUGGGGUAACGGCUCACAAAGGCGACGAUCCCUAGCUGGUCUGAGAGGCUGACCAGCCACACGGGAACUGAGACACGGUCCAGACUCCUACGGGAGGAAGCAGUGGGGAAGAUGGCACAAUGGGCGCAAGCCUGAUGCAGCCAUGCCGCGUGUAUGAAGAAGGCCUGCGGGUUGUAAAGUACGUUCAGCGGGGAGGCGUUACCCGCAGAAGAAGCACCGGCUAACUCCGUGCCAGCCGCCGCGGUAAUUC
rnacentral:rRNA from 1 species